AGGAUACAAAUUUUAUACCCGAGGGACCUGUUACAUCCUGUGCAUGUGGGACUCCCAGUGGAGAUUAGACCUUCUGCAAGGACUGCAGAACCGUGCAAUACAGAAGAGAAAACUGGUGCUUUCUACUGUUCCAAGCCCUUCUAUGGAUGAAAUGGCAUCGCCAGAAUAACACAUACUGUAGCAUCUGUCAGAUAGACACACAGAAGCUUCAUCAACAAUCAAGGCUAACAUCAGCCUCCUCUAACCAGCCGGCUAGGGAAAUGAAUGGAAAGGCUUCUGCCCCAGUACUGACCUAGUGCUCCAGGACGAUGCAGGGGGCUGCUGGAGGUGCCAUUGUUCUGACCAUCAAACCAAGGUCCUGUCUCCCAAGAUCCUCUGACACUUUUAGUACUGUAGGGUGCGUAACCCUGGUUUCCACCCUCCCUGUUUGUAAUCUAAUUCCCUUUAAAAUGAUCAUUCAACCACAGGCUGUACCACAGGGACUGAUGACCGGACAUUUCA